GAUGAAGAACGCAGCGAAAUGCGAUAAGUAAUGUGAAUUGCAGAAUUCAGUGAAUCAUCGAAUCUUUGAACGCACAUUGCGCCCGCCAGUAUUCUGGCGGGCAUGCCUGUUCGAGCGUCAUUUCAACCAUCAAGCCCCCGGCUUGUGUUGGGGACCUGCGGCUGCCGCAGGCCCUGAAAACCAGUGGCGGGCUCGCUAGUCACUCCGAGCGUAGUAAUACAUCUCGCUCAGGGCGUGCUGUGGGUUCCGGCCGUUAAAAAGCCUUAUUUACCCAAGGUUGACCUCGGAUCAGGUAGGAAGACCCGCUGAACUUAAGCAUAUCAAUAAGCGGAGGA
rnacentral:misc_RNA from 1 species